rnacentral:rRNA from 1 species
CCCUUAGAUGUUCUGGGCCGCACGCGCGCUACACUGACGAAUGCAACGAGCUUAUAACCUUGGCCGAAAGGUCUGGGUAAUCUCCAAAUUUCGUCGUGAUGGGGAUAGAUUAUUGCAAUUAUUAAUCUUCAACGAGGAAUGCCUAGUAAGCGCAAGUCAUCAGCUUGCGUUGAUUACGUCCCUGCCCUUUGUACACACCGCCCGUCGCUCCCACCGAUUGAAUGGUCCGGUGAAGCGUUCGGACCGUGGCCUUUGGACGGUUCGCCGUCUGUUGGCUGCGGGAAGUUCGUUAAACCUUAUCAUUUAGAGGAAGGAGAANUCGUANCA